CGGUGAGUGGCGCACGGCUGAGGAACACGUGGGUAACCUACCCCGGCGUGGGGGACAACGGCCCGAAAGUGGUCGCUAAUCCCGCAUACGCUCCUACGGGAGGAAAGCAGUGAUGCGCGCUGGGAUGGGCCUGCGGCCCAUCAGGUAGUUGGUGGGGUAAUGGCUCACCAAGCCGAUGACGGGUCCCUGGUCUGAGAGGACGACCAGGCAGACUGGGACUGAGACACGGCCCAGACUCCUACGGGAGGCAGCAGCAAGGAAUUUUCCGCAAUGGGCGCAAGCCUGACGGAGCAACGCCGCGUGCCGGAUGACGGCCUUCGGGUUGUAAACGGCUUUUAUCGGGGAAGAAACGGACGGUACCCGGUGAAUAAGCCCCGGCUAACUCCGUGCCAGCAGCCGCGGUAAUACGGAGGGGGCAAGCGUUGUCCGGACUUACUGGGCGUAAAGCGUGCGUAGGCGGCAGCGUGCGUCGGGACUGAAAGCGCCCCGCUUAACGGGGCGAGGUGUACCGAUACGACGCAGCUCGAGGCAGUGAGAGGUUGGUAGAAUUCCGGGUGUAGUUGUGAAAUGCGUAGAUAUCCGGAGGAAUGCCGGUGGCGUAAGCGACCAACUGGCACUGGCCUGACGCUGAGGCACGAAAGCGUGGGGAGCAAACCGGAUUAGAUACCCGGGUAGUCCACGCCGUAAACGAUGUCGGCUUGGUGUUCGGGGGUGUGAAAGCAUCCUUGAGUACCGUAGCUCACGCGAUAAGCCGACCGCCUGGGGACUACGAGCGCAAGCUUAAAACUCAAAGGAAUUGACGGGGGCCCGCACAAGCAGCGGAGCGUGUGGUUUAAUUCGACGCAACGCGAAGAACCUUACCCAGGUUGGACAUGUAGCUGCAAGCGCACAGAACUGUGUGACCU
rnacentral:rRNA from 1 species